GGUGUGUGUGGUCGUUAGGGUAUGAGUGUAUGUGUGGUCGUUAGGGUAUGAGUGUGUGGCCGUUAGGGUAUGAGAGUGUGUGGUCGUUAGGGUAUGUGUGUGUGUGGUUGUUAGGGUGUGUGUGUGUGGUCGUUAGGGUAUGAGUGUGUUUGUGGUCGUUAGGGUAUGAGUGUGUGUGUGUGUGGUCGUUAGGGUAUGAGUGUGUGUGUGGUUGUUAGGGUGUGUGUGUGUGGUCGUUAGGGUAUGAGUGUGUGUGUGGUUGAAGGUUGUGAGGGAGCUUGAUAAAAUAUGCAGAGAUCAGAUAAAUUCUUCCAUGAUUUAAGUUAUUUUAAACAUAAAAUUGUUUAAUUUCUAAAUUAUGUUUUUAGUCCAAGGUUAGUCCAACGGUUUUCAUUUAAUUUACGUUUGGAUAGUUCUGUAGUUAAUGGAUGGCUUGUGCAAUAAAAUUAAAGAUGUUGAUUAUGAUGUUUGAAUUGAUCAGGUUAUUUUCAGCUUUCUCUGUGACUUCCUGUCUCACUUCCUGUGUUCUGUGACAGUUGAGGUCACAUGACCCCAUUAGCCCUGACAAUGUAGAAACACUAGCUUCCAGAAUUUAUCACUGCUUUUCUACUUUAUAUUCACAGUACUGACAAAACAGAUGCCAUGUAAAUUGUAUAUAAUGAAGUGGGAUCUGACCGAAGCUGACUGUUGCUUUAGUACAACAUUUUGAGAGACACUAAUUAAAGUCCUAUUUGCAAUA